rnacentral:rRNA from 1 species
GACGAAGGUGACGACCGUUGCUCGGAAUCACUGGGCAUAAAGAGCUCGUAGGUGGUUCGAUAAGUCGGGUGUGAAACCUCCAGGCUCAACCUGGAGACGCCACCCGAUACUGUCGUGACUAGAGUCCAGUAGGGGAGCGUGGAAUUCCUGGUGUAGCGGUGAAAUGCGCAGAUAUCAGGAGGAACACCAGCGGCGAAGGCGGCGCUCUGGGCUGGCACUGACACUGAGGAGCGAAAGCGUGGGGAGCGAACAGG